AAGUUGUUGACAGCAUAUGUCAGCUAAAAAUAUAUAUAAGUUUUCAAUGACAAAAUGGUCUGCAUUUGUUUUAAGAUUGGAUGUUUUUAUACGAUAUUUCAUCUCCUUUUACUAUUCGUCAUCCUAUUUGAAGGCAAAACUGCCUCGCCAACAAUAUUAAACACCGCAUCAAUUGGUGAACAAGACUUAUUAACAUUUACCAGGCAGACGGAAGGCAAAUAUGGUAAGUUAAUUCACU